UAAAGAGAAAACGUCCUGAACUAUAACAUUUUCAAUUCCUGCAUAUUGGUUUCAUUUUUGCAAUUUUGCAAAAAUCUUUUCAAAAACAUGAAUACUGUUUCAGUCGUGAAAUGCCAAUCCUUCAUGUAAGCGAAAUAUGUUGGAAGCGGGAAUAUAAAGCAUGGCGGAUGCAAAUAUUUUAUUGGAUACAUCGUUGCGAUCAAAUACUUUAGCGAUUCAUUCACUUUUAGAAAAUGUCAAACAUUCUCAGAUUCUGCAGGACAAAGUAAGAAGUUCAGUUUUUGAAUUCUCCGAUCCGAGUUGACGUCAUCAAUUUUUCUUAGUUCACAAUCUACAAACCUUUGCCUUAAAAAUUCCAAAUGCGGGCAUCCCCCGACCGUCUCCCCUAGUAUAGUUGACAGAUCUGUAUACUAUAGUCGACAGAUCUGACAGCUUUUACUGUGAAAGUGGAGACUUUUGCAUAAUCUGCAUAUGCAGUGUUAACCCAUUAAGCGCCAGCGCUCUCCCCUUGACGAGUAAAAUCGUCUGGCUUUAGACAGAGUAAAAUACUAAAGUAGGGUGCAAUGCGACUCAAUGGGUUAACCAAAGUUUAGUAAAUGUGUGUAUUAUAUAUAGGCUAAUACAGAUCAAGCUAAUGACUCAGCAAAACUAUACCAUGCACCCCAUCCCCUACCCCCCAUUGAAGGAGGCCUACCACCUCUCCAACCUCGUACCCAGGACUAGCCGCGAGUUGAAGGCCCUUCAACUUGCAGCUAGCCCUGGGCACGAGGUUGCCACCUCCCCUACUAAUAUGAAUUUUAUUAUUUUUAUUUAAUUUGUUUUUAGUCCGCAGCAUGUGAGUGGAUUACAGCUUCAAACAAAUUACUUCAUUCACAUAAAGAUAGG